rnacentral:rRNA from 1 species
UACGAGUGCUUCAAGCGUUAUCCGGAAUCAUUGGGCGUAAAGGGUGCGUAGGCGGCUAUGUUAGUCUUGCGUUAAAUCUCUCGGCUCAACCGAGAGGCUGCGUGGGAAACGGCAUAGCUUGAGGACGGAAGAGGUCUCUGGAACUCAUGGUGUAGCGGUGAAAUGCGUUGAUAUCAUGGGGAACACCAAAAGCGAAGGCAAGAGACUGGUCCGCUCCUGACGCUGAAGCACGAAAGCGUGGGUCGCGAAUGGG